GGGAAUGUAGAGAAGCUUGUGGGA
rnacentral:siRNA from 1 species